AGUGGCGGACGGGUGAGUAACGCGUGGGUAACCUGCCUCACACUGGGGACAACAGUUAGAAAUGACUGCUAAUACCGCAUAAGCGCACAGGACCGCAUGGUCCGGUGUGAAAAACUCCGGUGGUGUGAGAUGGACCCGCGUUUGAUUAGCUAGUUGGUGGGGUAACGGCCUACCAAGGCGACGAUCAAUAGCCGACCUGAGAGGGUGACCGGCCACAUUGGGACUGAGACACGGCCCAA
rnacentral:rRNA from 1 species